rnacentral:rRNA from 1 species
CCUGAUUAGCUAGUUGGUGGGGUAAUGGCUCACCAAGGCGACGAUCAGUAGCGGGUCUGAGAGGAUGAUCCGUCACACUGGAACUGAGACACGGUCCAGACUCCUACGGGAGGCAGCAGUGGGGAAUUUUGGACAAUGGGGGCAACCCUGAUCCAGCCAUUCCGCGUGAGUGAAGAAGGCCUUCGGGUUGUAAAGCUCUUUCAGCUGGAACGAAACGGUAUUCACUAAUAUUGGGUGCUAAUGACGGUACCAGCAGAAGAAGCACCGGCUAACUACGUGCCAGCAGCCGCGGUAAUACGUAGGGUGCGAGCGUUAAUCGGAAUUACUGGGCGUAAAGCGUGCGCAGGCGGAUUGUUAAGCAAGAUGUGAAAUCCCCGGGCUUAACCUGGGAAUGGCAUUUUGAACUGGCAGUCUAGAGUGUGUCAGAGGGGGGUGGAAUUCCACGUGUAGCAGUGAAAUGCGUAGAUAUGUGGAGGAACACCAAUGGCGAAGGCAACCCCCUGGGAUAACACUGACGCUCAUGUACGAAAGCGUGGGUAGCAAACAGGAUUAGAUACCCUGGUAGUCCACGCCCUAAACGAUGUCAACUGGUUGUUGGGGGAGUGAAAUCCCUUAGUAACGAAGCUAACGCGUGAAGUUGACCGCCUGGGGAGUACGGUCGCAAGAUUAAAACUCAAAGGAAUUGACGGGGACCCGCACAAGCGGUGGAUGAUGUGGAUUAAUUCGAUGCAACGCGAAAAACCUUACCUACCCUUGACAUGUCCAGAAUCCUGCAGAGAUGCGGGAGUGCCCGAAAGGGAAUUGGAACACAGGUGCUGCAUGGCUGUCGUCAGCUCGUGUCGUGAGAUGUUGGGUUAAGUCCCGCAACGAGCGCAACCCUUAUCAUUAGUUGCUACGCAAGGGCACUCUAAUGAAACUGCCGGUGACAAACCGGAGGAAGGUGGGGAUGACGUCAAGUCCUCAUGGCCCUUAUGGGUAGGGCUUCACACGUCAUACAAUGGUCGGUACAGAGGGUUGCCAAGCCGCGAGGUGGAGCCAAUCCCAAAAGCCGAUCGUAGUCCGGAUUGUUCUCUGCAACUCGAGAGCAUGAAGUCGGAAUCGCUAGUAAUCGCGGAUCAGCAUGUCGCGGUGAAUACGUUCCCGGGUCUUGUACACACCGCCCGUCACACCAUGGGAGUGGAAUCUGCCAGAAGUAGGUAGCCUAACCGCAAGGAGGGCGCUUACCACGGUGGGUUUCAUGACUGGGGUGAAGUCGUAACAAGGUA